GGGCCAUCCUUGCGGGGGGCGCUGUCCACCACCGUGCCGAUCACCACCCAGCCGUCGUAGUCCACCUCCCAGUAGCCGCGGGAGCCCAGGAGACCCUCUUUGCACAGCACCUGAACGGGAAAGUGUUGGAUCAGGCAAGGGCCGCCCCAGUGAGACUUGACCUCCUCCGCCGUCGUCGUCCUCACAAGAUGAAAGAAGAGACUUGACAGAAUAACUCACACCUCCGGGCUCUGAAAUACGAGGGAUCAGCGAGGCCGCCAAAAAACGCUAAUCAUCAGCGAGCCUCAAUUACUCAAAACAACAGAAAUAAACUACGAGAACAGACUGGAAACAAUCCACGUUCUGCGUGACUGACCCGGGCGCGUUGACAGGGGCCAUGACAUUGAG